CUCUAAGGUGCCACAAGGACUCCUCGUUGUUUUUGCUGAUAUAGACUAACACGACUACCACUCUGAAACCUGUGUUCUAUGUGUUUUUAUUUAAUUGUACAUAAUACAUUUAAAUCACAUCCAUAUAUCUAGAAUUACAUUGAAAAGCAGCCUUGCUUAACAUUCUUAAAACACACAAUUGUGUUUUCUGCUAUUAUGGAAGACAUUCUGGGUUGUUUUUUUCCCCUGAUUCCACUUCCUAUUUUCCAGAUGUGUAAUGAUUGAAUCAGGAGCAAAGAGAGAUAUGUUUAAAUUUCAUCUCUCUAAUUUCUAUGAUCAAUUUUCUACUUUUUGCCCUAGAGCAUGUAACAUGCAGAUGUUAGGCAUUCUGAGGUUUCUUUUUGUAUAGAACCAUAAAAGUACUUUUUUUCAUUUUGAAAUGAUUCCUCCCCUCUCACCCAAGGAGUACCAAUCUGACCAUGAAGGUUGGUGUGAUUAACACCCAUCACUCCUAUAUAAAUGUUCCCAGGCCGGCAGUACAGGAUGCUGAUGUGGGCGUAGGAAGGAUAGAGAAUGGGAACAGGAGGUCUCUGGCUGAAGCGUAUGAUAGUUCAUCCAUAUUACAAACACAGGAGCAUGGGGACAGCUGCAGUGGUUAUUCUUCCACAAACAACUCACAGGCACUGAAAAGAGUGCUACAGAGAAUACCCAACUUUUUGGUUACCUUAAAAGACUGGGAGAAGAGGAUUUCCGAUGAAGGCUGCCAAACCUCAGACUCUUUUUUGGAAAAAAUUCAAGGUCCACAGCUAAGAUGGAGCAAUAAUUGUAAUAAUCAGAAUCUCUGUGAUGAAAUAUCAGAAGAAAUCAUGGAACAGCACCUACCUAGUGCCAUUGCACAGUACAAUGUUAACAACAACAGUAAUAAAGAUGAGUAAGUACUCUACAGUUUCAUUAUAAAGUUAUUUGUAUUGUAGAGAAUAGUAAAAAAAAAGCAAUAUACCUAGUUCUUUCCUUGCAAAUUAUUGCAUCAUACAAGUAAUCCCAUAAGGAAUUUCAUGUACAUCUGAACUAUAUGCACAGCAAAUGUUUUUCUAACACAAGUUAGUAGUGU
rnacentral:lncRNA from 1 species